rnacentral:lncRNA from 1 species
GAGAUAGUGGCAGUUGACCCAUUAUCAUUCACUGGAUCUUGAUUUUUUUCAAACCAUUUCCAUUUAUUUGUGUUGUUGCUGUUCAAACUUAGAUUGGAGAUAGCUUUAGCUUUGGUUGAUUGAAGGAGAUCUAUGGAUUUUGCAGAUAAAAAAGACGGGAGAGUGAAGAGAGAAGAAAACACUUUUUAUUUUAUUUUUAAAAAAGUAACAAUUAUUUAAGUGCUGUCAAAA